UAGGGAAUCUUCCACAAUGGACGCAAGUCUGAUGGAGCAACGCCGCGUGAGUGAAGAAGGUUUUCGGACCGUAAAGCUCUGUUGUUGGCGAAGAAGGAUAGAGGUAGUAACUGGCCUUUAUUUGACGGUAAUCAACCAGAAAGUCACGGCUAACUACGUGCCAGCAGCCGCGGUAAUACGUAGGUGGCAAGCGUUGUCCGGAUUUAUUGGGCGUAAAGCGAGCGCAGGCGGAAGAAUAAGUCUGAUGUGAAAGCCCUCGGCUUAACCGAGGAAUUGCAUCGGAAACUGUUUUCUUGAGUGCAGAAGAGGAGAGUAGAACUCCAUGUGUAGCGGUGGAAUGCGUAGAUAUAUGGAAGAAUACCAGUGGCGAAGGCGGCUCUCUGGUCUGCAACUGACGCUGAGGCUCGAAAGCAUGGGUAGCGAACAGGAUUAGAUACCCUGGUAGUCCAUGCCGUAAACGAUGAGUGCUAAGUGUUGGGAGGCUUCCGCCUCUCAGUGCUGCAGCUAACGCAUUAAGCACUCCGCCUGGGGGAGUACGACCGCAAAGGUUGAAAC
rnacentral:rRNA from 1 species